ACGUAGGAGGCAAACGUUAUAAGGAUUUACUGGGAGUAAAGCGCGUGUAGGUAGUUUGGUAAGUAGAGCGUGAAAGCUCCUGACUCAACUGGGAGAGGAAGUUCUAAACUGCCAGACUUGAGGGUUGUAGAGGAAGGUGGAAUUCCGGGUGUAGCGGUGGAAUGCGCAGAUAUCCGAAGGAACACCAGUGGCGAAAGUGGCAUCCUGGACAACUACUGACCCUCAGCCGCGAAAGCUUGAGUAGCAAACGG
rnacentral:rRNA from 1 species